UAUAAACAUUGCAAAUGAGAGCAGACCUGGUCUUUAAAGACAUCAGGUGAAAGCAAAGGACAUUCUUUCAGUUUCCUUAGGCCAACUUAUGGCAAGACUAAGGGUGAGCAACAGGUCUAAUUGGAGUUACUUCCCCACCCUGUUUUUUUUUUUAAAUAUGCUUAGUUUUUAUCUAUUAAUUGCAUGAAUAAUCUUAGUUAAAGAUUUUCAACAGGUUUGUUAAGAUUGUUUGUUAAGAGCUAGUUUUAAAGAAUUAUACAGUUUAGUUAUAUAUACCAAAUGCACAGGUAUGUUUCACUUUAGUAUCCAUUUUAUUAUUACAUCGAUGCAAAACAUUUUUUAUAAGACGAAAAGCGAGAUCGUUUGGUGCUCAUGCAUUCACCCUCAAUUACUACGAUUGGUUAUCAAAAAUUGGUCAUAGACUUAAUUGCAAUGAGUUAGCUUGUGCUAACCUGUAUCCACCCCUUAUUUCACCACAAUAUCACGUGUUGUUGCGUUAGAACUAUAAUUUAUCGAUUUCUUUUCCCAGCACAGUAAACACGUCAUCUAGGUGACAUCGCAACAGCAGGUCAACUGAUACAGUCUUUUCUUUAGAAUGCCUUGUACAAACAGAGACAGCCAACAAAUUUGUUUAUAUUUCGUAUCUGUCACAGUGGUUAUUUAUUGUAACAGGCUACUGCUAAUCUAUAAAAUAAAUAGUUAUAGGCGCACAGUAUAUAUAAAUAUAUAUUUAAAAUUCUUUAAGAUCUAAUCUGCAAUAUAUUGUCAGGAGAAAAAAAAUUUUGAACUUAUGCUGAAAAGACAUUAAACAUGUGAGUCAUUACAGUAGCACUGAAGUGAAUAAUAAAUUGUUACAUAUUUAGAAGCAAGCUUUUUGGAUAUCCGGACUUCUUCGGUUGUUGAAGAAUUUCUACUUUUCCUCUACUUGGGUUAUGAACCUAGCUCCUAUUGCUCCCUGCAAAGCUGCGGUCAUGCUGGAGCACCAACGUUGGCUGAGCCACACCAUUAUUUGUAAGCUCCUCUGAUAUGUGGCAUUUGGUCAAUGCCGGAGUUUGAUGCUACUGCCCCCAACUGUGUUUCCUGCCGUGAGGCAGGCUUGACUGGAGCCCUUAACAGGAAGAGAUCCAGUUUUGUUUUAAAGACACUUACAGCCACACCAUGCAGGUCUCUCAGGCAUUUUGGAAAUAUAUUAAAGAGCUGUGGGCCCCUGAAGCCCAAGCUGUGGCAGUAUCUGGCCCUGUAUUUUGAUGGUGAUGCUGGGAUCUUUGGUUCUAUGCAGUGGUGCCCCAUUCUGCAGUUUCAGUAACUUUCAAUGCUAAAGUUGUGUACAUUACUGUAUAUCUCUCCCUCCUUCAUUCCAGAGAGAAGAGUUUUAAUUCUUUCAGUCUUUCAGUUGCUGAUACGUUGUUCUUUCAGUAGCUGAUACAUUGCAUCGAGACGAUUUUCAAAGUGUAGCUUCGUUGGAUUGCUUCGAGUUCUGCUGUGGAUUUUUUUAUUGUGUGGUGACCAGAGUCUGGAGCAAUAGUCUAAGAAGAUGAGAACGUAUGUCCUCCAAUGGAUCAUCAAUCUUUCCUUUUCUUUUGUUUCCUUCAAAAUUCCUACACGCUCGAAAUGUACAUACAUCAAGGUGUAUUUGUAGAAAAUUUCACGAAAAAAUAUUCAUUUUCCUGGAAGUUAAGAGGAAUUUAAGUGGAAUUUCCGAAAAUUGUCCCCGACCCCUCUCAAAACACUUUCACCGAAAAUUUUUGUAUAUUUGGAAUCUACAUAAUAAAUAAUAUAUGCAUAGGAAA